rnacentral:lncRNA from 1 species
GCUCCAAUCAUCAUCUGAAGAUACCUUGGGCUGCAGAACAAGGCAAAAGUGGAUGCAACUUCAACACUAGCUUGUACAACAAUUUAUUUUCUCUAGAGAUGAGCUUGCAGCUGAACAUGUAGACAAGAAUACCUGAAAAAAUAGGAACAUCAACUAUUUUCAGGUGCAUAUCCAAGACAAAAGGUCAACAAAAUUAUCUAGUUGGAUAAAGUUUAAUUUAUGCUAAAGGCCUUGUGAACGAUACUACUUAAGAUUUGCAUGCUAGAUCAUGGUUCUUACUCCUAAAAUCAUUGGCAAGUGAUGACAAAAAAAUAAAAAUGUUCUUACUUGCUACCAUUAAAAAAGGAUUUGUGUACAAGAUUUUGAUCUUAAUGCUUGUUCUUCAUUUCUGCAAGCAUAUGGUACAUAAAAAUUCAAAACAAGAGGAGUAUAGCUAACCAGAAACUAUUAUAGAUCAAUUCAAGAAUCAUAUUCUUUUCUUAGAGAUAAGGGGCACACCCCUUGGUUUCAUUUUAUUAGAAUGCAAGCACAAGUGCAUAAGCAGUGUGAUUUCUCGGAUGCCAGCACAGGUGCAACCAUCAGACUCCAAAAACAAUUGAAAAAAUUGUAGUGACAGCCACAGGUCGGCCACAGUACAAUCAGAAUCAUCAGCCAAAUAAAUGUCACCGAACAGGAGCGUUUGAAGAUAGAGCAUCAGCAAAGAUGGAAAAUCAGAACAUGAGUCCUCCGCAAAGAUAGGACAUCGUUACCACUGAUGCGGGGCAUCGAACUUUCUUGCAGUUAAGAAUCAUCGAAUCUAAAUAAAAGUGUAUAUCUAUAAUUAAAGUUCACACGCACUACAAUUGCAUGUAUUAGGAUUCAUUGAAUUGGUAAGAUUACUCCAGGCAUGUACGCUAGAUCAGUAUUGUUGAUUUUGAAGUAUUGUUAGAGUGUGGAUUUGCAACAAGAAAACAAAUCAUGAACAAGAUAAUGACUAGUAAUGCUUUCAGAAAUUUCAGUUGGGCAUCAAAAGUGGAGUUUCAUUUUGAGACCAACAAAGUGAAUUAGCAGAAAAACACAACAAAUAUAAUCUACUCCAGGCGGCCACCUAAAAUUGUUUUACAAGGUCCUUCUUCUAAAAUGUACCGGCGGCCACCUAAUGAUAACAUCCUGUCCAUCAACUUUUCAUCCAUUGGCUCAGAAUCGCUCGGAGCAUUCGUAGCACGAGGUCAACCGUAGCACUGGAUACAUUCUCGUACUGAACAUGCUAUAGUAUACUGACGACCAGCAAAGAAAAAAGACUCAUUCAGGUGCUUCAAAAUUAUCAACUGAAGAAGGAAAACAAUCACAAAAAUGCACUCUGUUGCUUACAUGUGCAGGGCUACGAGGAGGUUGAGGCAUCGCAGGGGACAGAUCGGCAAGAUCGUGGAAAAUGAAAUACUUGCAGAAAUUAAUACUUGAAAAAUGG